CCCCCAGUGGUGCACCUCUCUGUUCUCGCUCUCCCCCAGUGUGAAGCUCUCGGAGUCUGUGUGGGUGGUGGCGUGUACAGUGGAGGAGGCAUCGAAGUGUCCCACUACAGUUUGGACUGAGACACUGGUGGGGGGGGACUCAAGGACACCCCCACGGUUUCACAGAAGAUGAAGUAGUCUGACCCCCCCCCCCCCCCCCUGCGCUGUUUGGAGUAGGGGGCUCUCUGGUUGAGCGAUGGACUGAGGGUUCACCCUCCGGAACGCUGUCUAAAACAGCCCCCUCCUCCCCUCACCUGGUGCUCUGCAUGCUGGCGGCUGAUAGAGGCUCGCGCACAGCCCAGUGAGAGACUGCACACUGUUGCCUGGUGGUGAAGUGGGCUUUCCUUCUCAAGGUCAACCAGGAAUGGCUAUUCAUCCUCACACUGUCUGCCAAAAAAACUAGGCGAGGCCGGCCAAACCCAGCGGGUGUUUGAAUUCAAAAUGCAUCUAGUGCCAUGGUGUGUGUGUGGGGAAAGGGGGGGGGGGGAGCUGUGAAGUUUUUUGAUUCCCGCACAGUUCAAUCACUUGUCCUCUUUGACCGCUGCAAGGGUCAUUACGUCCAAUCAGCACCUAUCAUUUCCCUAGAAAAGUGUCUGCUUGCAUGUUAUCACUGGGAGAGAGAGAGAGAGAGAGAGAACCAGGAAGCCUUUAGCAUGUGACUGACUGAAAAAGCACACAGAGCGAGGAUGUCUGCAAGUGUGGUUCACUGUCUGUGUGUAAUAGCCUGGAGCUUUGGAGCGCUGCUUUUGAGAGCCUCCUUGGCCCUGAGGAGUUAAACGUGGGGAAGAGUGUUUAUACUGGAACCAUUAGGGAGAUAGUGCUGAGAGACAAAGCAACCAGGCCUGACUAAUGGAAAGGAAGAGAGAGAUAAUGAGACCGGGCACGCAGGUGAGAGGGAGAGAGAGAGAGAGAGAGAGGGAGAGAGGGAGGAAGGAAGGAAGGAAGGGGAGAUGGAAAUGGAUAGAUGGAACAGGAAACAAAGAAAUUAAUACAAUGGCCUUUGAUAGACUGGAGCAUAAGGGUGUUUAGAUGGGCUGACUUUGGUUUGGACAAAGAGAGAGAGAGAGCGAGAGAGAGAGAGAGAGAGAGAGAGAGAGAGCGAGAGAGAGAGAGAGAGAAUUCCUCCUGGUGUAAGUGGGCCUCUCACUGUCUAGGUUCUCACACGGUUACUGUAACUGUUAACCAUUCUGACUCCAAUUAGCCUAACCUGGUAACCUAGGUAACCUUCCCCACAGUACUGUAUGCAUAGGCAGUGACUGGAGCCUGGCACUAAAACAGCUCCAUUUGAACUGUUCCUUACUAGACUCAGUGCCAGGUCACGGUUCCUGCAGUCCCAGCUACCCCCACACAUGCACUUCAAGGUACUGUUUACUUUAAGGACACUAAGCAAACGACCAACCAAUCGGAGAGCCAGCGUCCUCUCAGUCAUGUGUGCUUUGACAAGUACUCACGGCACACAUGAAACUGACUUGGCUGUUGUCACAUUCAGCUGUCCGUUUUACUGGUUGGGAAGAUACUAUCUGCAAUCUGCAUUCACUUUGUUUUCACUUGUGUUUACUCCCAAAAGACUGGUCUGUGUUCAGUGUGACAGUUGUCUGUGUUCAGUUCAGUACAGUAACCUUUAAAAAAAAAAAAAAAAAAAAUUGCAUUAAUUGCGUAUAGUUAUAUUUUUAACAAAGCAAAUGGUGACAAAAUGGUGACUGAUUCUUAUGAUAAUUCCUUAAUCAUUUUAUGAAACACGUCAAUUAUCCAGACGAAAAUAUUCUUGAAGAGACUGACCCGGCUCUCACGUAGAUAUUGCUUUAUAUGAGGUUUCUGAGAAUUCUGUUGUUCUGUUAUUUCAUACGUUGUUUAGCAGCAGCUGCUGGUUUACAUGUAGGACACAGUAUAAUUGAGUCUGCCUCAUUUUUUGUUAUUUAUAACUGGGUACCCAAACAUAGUUAUUUAAAAUCCAGAAAAUGUAGAGAAUGUUUUUCUUUUUUUUGUCUUUUGAAUGAUAUUGAGAAUAGCCCCCCAUAUGUUGAUUAUUUCCUUUGUAUUUUAUUUAUGUUAAAAAAUCUAUUUGUAUCCUGAGAACCAAUAUCUGUUAUGGGUAUAAGUGUGUGAGCCCAUUCAAUGCUGCUCAAGAAGUAGGGUUUAUCACAGAAAAACAAUGCUAGGCAUUUGUAUUCGUUUAGCCUGGUCAUAGCUGGGGAUAGCACAUGUGUAUAUGUGUACAAUAACUACACAAUGAAAAAGCUAAAUAUUGUGUUAUAACAGAUACUACAUAAAGACAUGCCAAAUCCAGGUUGGAAAGUACUCUUUUGAUGGUGGAAAAAAGAGGAUUGAAAAAGGACCGAAGACACCACCAGACUGGAAACACGCAGCCCACAGGCCCUUUUGUUUGAGUCAACUUGUGAGAUAUCUGCCUGGGCUGGGUCAGUUGUAUGUGUUUCAAUGACGCGACUUCAUGCAGAGUGCACGUGUGUUCACCGUCCGCUGGUUAAAUGUUGUUUAUAAUUGUAACCUUCUGUGUGUAAAUUGAACAGGUGUAGCCUCACGUCACGUCACAGCAGCAGUGCACCAUGGGAUUGGUUCAGUUCCAUUUCAUUAGCGCCACAUUAGAGGAAGGAGAGACAGGAACGUAUGUGGUAGUGGAUAGGAUUUAAAAUUUAGGAUUUUAAUGAAGCUAACUCACAUAUGAAUGGAAUUGACCCAAAGCUCGGUGCAAACUCUGUCAGUAACCUAAAUGUAUAUCAACAACUCACAUUUCUCAUAUGUAAUCAUUAACACUCUCAGAAAAAUAUGUAGGUCUAGAAAUGCAACAUUGUACAACUCUUAGAAAGGAGGAGGAAGAAGCAAUCACAGUUGUUAAUCCCAGACUAACAACAAGUAUACAGACAGUGCGGUUCAGCACAGCGGCAGCGUGUAGCACACACACACACACACACACACACACACAGCGGCAGCGUGUAGCACACAUAUUUUCUUCUGCAUUACACACAAAAUUCUGGCCUUUUCUGUGAAAAGCUGCUAUAACCCUUGCAGUCUGUGCAGCAUAAUAAUGACAGUCACUCUGGUUGCAGUUAUACUGUAAAUAACUUUACGCAUGGGACAAUUUACAAAAUAAGCUACUGGAAUCCUGUAUUCCAAUACCACCCUUUGAAAAAAAUUAAUAAAAGCUGAUUGAAAUGGCUUGUUGUGUGCAUUGUCUGCUGAUAAAAUAUAAACAAUACAUACACCACACAGUUGCAGUAGCAUGCUUCACAAUAAGGAUGAGCCACAGGACGGACCUUGAUAGUUGAUUAUUCAAUGAGACAUCACAGAGUAAAGUAAUUGCCUUUGCAUGAGAUGCUAAUUGAAAGAGUUGCUUGGUGGGUUGUGGAUGUACAGCAGUUUGGGCUAUUUGCACUUUUCUCAGCUGCCUUGUUUGAUUUACUGUGUUAGAAAUGUACAGCUUCUUAGGCAGACACCACAAACUGAGAGAGGGAGGAGAUAGAUAUAUGAGGCAGGUCAUCAAUACAAAAUCAGUCCAGAGUCGCUGAAGGUCAUUCCGAGAUCAAAUUAAUUGAAAAGAGUGCGUCUAAAAAUGUCUAAAGAAAAUCGAAACCGUUUUUCUAGUUUUGCC
ensembl:lncRNA